rnacentral:tRNA from 1 species
CAGAGAAUAGUUUAAUGAAAACGCCAGCUUUGGGAGUUGGUGAUAAAGGUUUGAUUCCUUUUUUUCUGA